CGUUCCGGUACAAUGGGCUCUCCUUUGUCUACCUCAUCUACCUCUUGCUCAUCCCUUUGUUCUCAGAACCAACAAAAGCAACGAUGCAAGGAGACAGCCGAACAUUCUGGGUUCUGGAACAACAGUGUCCUGUCAGAGAGAGGAUUCUGUUUCCACCAGAGGGAGCCACUUUGCCCAAAACAGUUUCCCAGCUGCUGGUUUUCUAGGCCUUUCGGACAAUUCCCACUAACCCCAUUGAAUUGGCCACAUUUAUAUUUUUCCCUAGAAAAAUAA